GCCUCCGUAUCAUAGCAGCUAUUGAGCCACCUUGGUAAGGUGGAGGUCCCGGGUGCAAAUCCCGGCGGGGGCU
rnacentral:tRNA from 1 species